rnacentral:rRNA from 1 species
GAUCCUGCCUCAGGAUGAACGCUGGCGGCGUGCUUAACACAUGCAAGUCGAGCGAAGCACUUUACUUGGAUUUCUUCGGAAUGACGAGUAUUGUGACUGAGCGGCGGACGGGUGAGUAACGCGUGGGUAACCUGCCUCAUACAGGGGGAUAACAGUUAGAAAUGACUGCUAAUACCGCAUAAGACCACAGCACCGCACGGUGCAGGGGUAAAAACUCCGGUGGUAUGAGAUGGACCCGCGU